UCGUCGCUUGUAUACAUUAUUCAUUAUUAUUAUUUUCUCAUGCACUAAACGAGAACAAAGCAAUGAGUAGAAUGACGAUCUGGAAGCCGGGGAAAAAUAAAUUUUAAUAAAAUAUCGUUAUCAUUAGAAACAAUGUCAUGAUUUCUAAGCCUUAAUAAAGUGAAAUAUGUCAGCUAACCCGUCAAAUUUAUAUGGAUGGAUCAUCUGUCAAGUGCCACUGGAAGCCUAUCUACGCAUCCCCAUAAAAAAAAUUCUCGUAGGAACGUCUGGGAAUCCAUAGAAAUUCGAGGGAAUUAAGGAUUUACUUAAGAAACCAUGGGAAUCUAUGGAGAAAAGUAUGGAUUUAUAUGGGAAUCCAUGUAGGGAACUAUGGGUACCUAGAUCUUCAUACAGGAAACAAAUGUAGGAAAUUGAUAUAAGAUCUGGGGAUCUGUAUUUUUGUAUAGAAUCAGAGGAUUAAAAAAUUUUUAAUACUGACCAAAUCAUUUCAUAUCAUAACCGGUGACAGAAAUUUGAAUAUUAUUUCGGGAUUUAAGAUAGUCCGGUAACUCGCGCCAAUUUUCAUACUUUUUUUACGGGCCUUUUUUUUUAGAAGGAACAAACGAAAAGUUUUGCAUUUUUAGUAUGUUUUUAUUUACAUCUUAAGUAGGGGUGUGCGAAUACUCGAGACUUCGAAUUAUUCGAGACGAAUCGAAUCGAACAAUUCGAUUCGAGAUUCGCCUCGAAGAUUUGAAAUGUUCGAAUAGUUCGAAAUGUUCGAAUAGUUCGAAAUGUUCGAAUAGUUCGAAAUGUUCGAAUAGUUCGAAAGGUUCGAAUAGUUUGGAAGGUUCGAAUAGUUUAAAAGGUUCGAAUAGUUCGAAAGGUUCGAAUAGUUCGAAAGGUUCGAAUAGUUCGAAAGAUUCGAAUAGUUCGAAAGAUUCGAAUAGUUCGAGAGCUUCGAAUAGUUCG